CUUGAGAGCUUUUUAAAAUGCAGAUUCUGAUUCAAGAAAGGUGGAGAUUCUGCAUUUCUCACAAGUUUCCAGGUAAUG
rnacentral:miRNA from 1 species